rnacentral:tRNA from 1 species
CAACAAGUAGUUUAGAUAAGAAUAUUAAUUUUGGGUAUUAAAGGUAUAGUAUUUUUCUAUUUUGUUGA